rnacentral:rRNA from 1 species
UACGUAGGGUGCGAGCGUUAAUCGGAAUUACUGGGCGUAAAGCGUGCGCAGGCGGUUCGUUGUGUCGGCGGUGAAAUCCCCGGGCUCAACCUGGGAAUGGCCGUUGAAACUGGCGAACUGGAGUGUGGCAGAGGGGGGUGGAAUUCCGCGUGUAGCAGUGAAAUGCGUAGAGAUCGGCAGGAACACCCAGGGCGAAAGCAGCCACCUGGGCAUCAUCUGACGCUGAGGGACGAAAGCGUGGGGAGCGAACCGG